GUCUAGAGGAAUGCCACCCUGAACAAGCCCGAUCCUUUUUGAUCUCGAAAGCUACACAGAGUCCGGCCUGGUUAAGACUUGGAUAGGAGACCACCUAGGAAGACUAGGUCCUGUAGGCG
ensembl:rRNA 5S_rRNA 5S ribosomal RNA